rnacentral:lncRNA from 1 species
UGACAAUCAAAUUUGAUACAGACACAAUUAUUAUAACAUUGUAAGGGACACAAAUGUUAAUUUUUCAUAUGACAUUAUCCUUUUAUUUUUAAAAUGUAGUGAUUUCCUAUGAAAUCAGAGGAGGAGUGUACUGUUUUGGUAAAGUGCCGAAUUGACCAUGUCGUCCUUUUUGUAUCAUUUCACUCCCCAGUCUCUUUUAUCCCUCGAUAUUUGUCAAAACUGAAGCACGUUGUUUUUCUAUUUGAAGUUAAAUCCACCAC